GAAAUUAUAGCAGAAGCUAUUCUGCCAAUAGGUAUGCUGUCCGAAGAAGCUCAGGAAGCGAGGAAUAAAGAUUAUAGAGCCUAUAGAUUACAUCAUUCGCGAAGAAUUGGACGUGUAGCCACUAAUGAAGAUGUAAUGCAUAACCUUUUAUUGUCUUCAGACCCAUUUAUAAAUAGAUUUCGCUCAAAGCUGCAAAUCAAAAAAUUGGAGUACGAUAAUGAUGUUAAAAAAUUAUUAAAAGACUAUGCUUAAUUUA